rnacentral:rRNA from 1 species
GAUGAACGCUGGCGGCGUGCCUAAUACAUGCAAGUCGAGCGAACAGGUGAGGAGCUUGCUCCUCUGACGUUAGCGGAGGACGGGUGUGUAACACGUGGAAAACCUACCUAUAAGACUGGGAUAACUUCGGGAAACCGGCGCUAAUACCGGAUAAUAUAUUGAACCGCAUGGUUCAAUAGUGAAAGACGGUUUUGCUGUCACUUAUAGCUGGAUCCGCGCCGCAUUAGCUAGUUGGUAAGGUAACGGCUUACCAAGGCAACGAUGCGUAGCCGACCUGAGAGGGUGAUCGGCCACACUGGAACUGAGACACGGUCCAGACUCCUACGGGAGGCAGCAGUAGGGAAUCUUCCGCAAUGGGCGAAAGCCUGACGGAGCAACGCCGCGUGAGUGAUGAAGGUCUUCGGAUCGUAAAACUCUGUUAUUAGGGAAGAACAAAUGUGUAAGUAACUAUGCACGUCUUGACGGUACCUAAUCAGAAAGCCACGGCUAACUACGUG